rnacentral:rRNA from 1 species
UACGUAGGUUCCGAGCGUUGUCCGGAUUUAUUGGGCGUAAAGCGAGCGCAGGUGGUUUAUUAAGUCUGGUGUAAAAGGCAGUGGCUCAACCAUUGUAUGCAUUGGAAACUGGUAGACUUGAGUGCAGGAGAGGAGAGUGGGAUUCCAUGUGUAGCGGUGAAAUGCGUAGAUAUAUGGAAGAACACCAGUGGCGAAAGCGGCUCUCUGGUCUGUAACUGACGCUGAGGUUCGAAAGCGUGGGUAGCAAACAGG